AUGAUAUGCCUGAUUAAAGGAUUAUUUUGAUAGAAUAAACUAUACACUAUUUGUGUUUUCAUUA
rnacentral:tRNA from 1 species